GUCGAGAAUCUUCCGCAAUGCACGAAAGCGUGACGGAGCGACACCGCGUGAUGGAUGAAGUCCUUCGGGGCGUAAACAUCUUUUAUAAAGGAGGAAAUUUUUGACGUUACUUUAUGAAUAAGGGGCUCCCAAUCUCGUGCCAGCAGGAGCGGUAAUACGAGAGCCUCAAGCGUUAUCCGGAAUCAUUGGGCGUAAAGGGUGCGUAGGUGGUUUGAUUAGUCUCCCGUUAAAACUUCGAGCUUAACUCGAAAAGAGCGGGGGAAACGGUCAAACUAGAGUAUGUGAGAGGUGUGUGGAACUCAUGGUGUAGGGGUGAAAUCCGUUGAUAUCAUGGGGAACACCAAAAGCGAAGGCAGCACACUGGCACAUCACUGACACUGAGGCACGAAACCUAAGGUAGCGAAUGGGAUUAGAAACCCCGGUAGUCC
rnacentral:rRNA from 1 species